UUUGAAAUAAACUCUAAUUUCAAUGAAAAUUAGAAUGAUUUGAGAUUAAUUUGGAGAAUUUUCAAGUAGAUAAUAAUUUAAAACAUUUUAGUUUAAUUAAUAUGCAUGUCUCUAAAUUAUUUGGACAUUUUAAAUAGAUCUUUAAACUAAUAAAAUUUGUCGUGAUUUUUUUUACCUAAAUAACUUAAAUUUUCAAAAAUAUUUCCUAAAUAACUCAUAUUUUUACAAAAUUCUCAAACUAACUCAUUUCAACUAAUCAAGUAACUAUCCACUAAAAUAACAUGUUAUCAUUAAUCCUUAAUUACUCUUUCAUGAUAAUUUAUUUUACACACUAAGAAAGACAAAUGGAUCAAUGUCAAAUUAUUUAUUUCACACUUCUCUUUCUUUCAAUCUUGUGUUGUCACGUGUCUUACUAAACUAUUCAUUAUUUAUCCUAUUAUCUCUCUUAUCCUCUAUAUUUUUCCAAACCCUAACAAUGUCUUCACCCAUUUCUCCAUCUUAUAUAUGGCCACCACCACCUCUAAUAAAAAAAAUAAAGUCAUAUUUGUACUCCUCAUCUCAUUUUGUGGUCUUCCUAAUGAACUUGUUGAAUUUUCAUUUCGACGCCAUAGACCGUCGGUUCUCCUUCUUCGACUGUUACAACUCGAAAUGGAAAAGGGGGAAAUUUGCUUGCUCUUCUAUCUAAUUAUUGCUAGAUGAAUGUAAUGGCAGAGACAGUGGACAUUCAAAUAUGAUAGAACAUGUUUGCAAAAUGGAAGAUUUUCAACUUUCCUUAUUGAAACUUCAUGGUUCAUUGUUGCUAAAAUGCUCAUAGCAUUUUCUUUUGCAAAAAGUUGAUGCAAGCUCCAUGUGAUUGGCUUCCAAAUUGUGGAAUUUGAGCUUUUUUGUGAAAUUUAUCUGCACGUAAGAAAUAGAUAUUGAGUGCUUACUAUGUUUAUUUAUAAGUUUUUUUCUUUUAUUUUGUUCUUUGUGUGUCUUUGAUACUGUUUUCUCCAAUGUGAUUGAUUUAUUAUAUGUUAGGAUACUGACAGUGAUAAAGAUACAAGCAUCAAGAUAAUUAGUCAUAUUGGAUGUUGACCACAUCAUCAUACAAAAUACCAGUGAGUUGUUUCAUUAUGGACAUUUUUGUAUCGUCUUUAUUAAUCCUUGUGUUUUUCAUACAGGUUAAUUUGUGUUGCAUCAAAUAAUCAAGACAAUGAGCAUGAGAAUGAGCUUAGAGAUAAAAUCCAGUACAUGUGUGAUAAGUCAAUGAUAAAAAAAGGGUACAUGCAUUUUACAUAAGAGAUACACGGCACCUUCAAACUGAUGUACAAAACAAUUAAUAUUAAACUACUUAUUUCGUUUUACUUCUGUCAUUAGUUAUUGGUUUUUAAAACUUAUGUCAUUUAUUUCAAGGUUUCUCAUUUGUUUAAACUGGUAUCAUUUAUUUCAAGGUUUGUCACGGUGAUACAAAUAAAUUACAUCAACAGCUUACUCAUUAAAUUCUUUUUCUGUGAUUCUGAAAAAUUCUAGUUGCAAAAUUCUCACAAACUAAGUGUUGAAAAAUGAGAAAUGGAAAAUUUGAACCCGCACCCAGCAUAUCAAAUUUCUCUACGGUCUUCUACCAUCUGACAUGUACUUACGGCACUGUAUCUUUAUUAUUGUCCAAAUGACUUCAAAUGGAAAUGUUGUUAUUAGCGAGGGACCCACUGUUGAGUGUUUUUGUUGAGGUGGAACUAUUUCUUAGCUUUGAGAUUUGUUUAUUUUGCUCAUUUGUUGCAGGUAAGUGAAAAUAAAACUCCUGGUGCUGUUGAAUCUGCCUUGCAGAACUAAUCCUUACCUUUGAGAUUUGCUUAUCUCUUUGUUUUUUCACUUGAUUUGUUGGGAUUACAAUGGCUUAAAAAAAGGGAUUGUAAUGUUUGGGAUAAUGAUGGUUUUCACAUUCAGGAAAUACAAGGAAAUUAGUUUAGAAGACAUUAGAUGAGUAAAUUCUAACUUGUGAAUGUAUUUCCACAUCUUCAGUUCCAAUGCAUGGUUGAGUUUCUGCUUAGAA